UGGCUGUCUGAGAAGUGCUGGGGCUGGGGAGCUCCAGCCUAGCAGAGCUGCAGGUUGAGGGGACAUAAGGCUUGCUGGCUAACCCCUUUAAUUAUCGGGAUGGCAAGGAGGGCAGCCAUCAAUCCCCUGAAGACUGCAGAGUAGAAGAGCGUGUAGCAAGCCACCAGUUCCCUCUUAGUCUUCCAAAAGACAGCAUCAGGUUUCAUUUGAAUAAACAUAUUCACAUCAGCCUGAAUUGCAAGGUACUAAAACCAUGCAGACUGAAUUCACUGAAAGCCACUGAACCAAAACCAGCAGGUUUCCCACAGCUUCAAAUGGUCUGCAUAACACAGAGAGCAGAACAAAAAGAAAAAGCAGAAAAUAUUGUGUAAGUUCACAUAUUUCCCUCUAAACCUUCCUGUAUAGGUUUUAUUGAGGCUGAAGCUUUAACACACUGCUUACAGCCCCACUGUUGAUCUGUGUUAGACUAUUAGGGCUAUACUUUCCAGUUGCUGAUUAGCUUUCUGAUGUGCAUUCUGGAUAACCUAAUACUGGGAGAGGUGGAGUUAUUACC